rnacentral:misc_RNA from 1 species
GUCGCACGCGGCCGUGCGUUUCUGCUUUUGGAUUAAAAAAGGAUAUACUAAUACAAAAUAUCAAACUAACGGAAAUUGGGAGUUAGUGAAAUUAGUGCAAGUCGUGAAGAAAUCAUUUGACUACACUCUAUUCGAUAGUUAUUAACCUUGCAACUGAGUUUCUAUGCUUUAAAAAGAAUUAGUGCGAUAGGCUGACAGAAGUGUUAUACGGUAGAAGGUUAAUCAUUUUGUACUUUCACGUAUUAGUGCAGGAUAACAUAUUGGACACGGCUUCCAUUUAGGGCCAAAGGAAACAAAGAAACUCACACAAAACCUGUGAAAAAAUAGUGCACUUGCGUACGUUAAAGCUAACCAUUUCUCCACAUACAAGUCAACUUACAAACAGACACAAACAUGGAACUACAUUCUCACGCUUCCGAAUGUCAUGAUUUAUCAUCAUGAGGACAUACAUGAUGGCCGCAAACCGUGGAGAAUGGGCGAAUAUGAUGAUGCCUGCUUCGAGGCGUCGCAAAGAAAAUGAAUCACCGAAAUAUGGUUACAACCUCGGCCGCUCAAUGCCCUAUCGUUCGACCGCUCGCCAUAAUGUGCUACUACCACAGCACUCAUCAGUAAGCUCUACUUUACCGUCCGGUUCUUAUACGUCCUAUGGGCAUACAUCGACAACAACAACACCAUACUAUGAAUCACACCGUCUCAGCAGCAGCCAGGCCGCGAAUUUGCCAAGCGCAAGCACCAGCGCCGCUUCCACAGCCAGUCCGCCGCAAUUUCACACAAACGCUGCCGCAACGGCGUUGCAUAGACUGCCGCCACACUACAGCAGCCACCAUCACGUUGCCCAUGCGACUCUCACCUUAUACGCCGCUCACCAAUGCCGUGGACAAGCACACUCACAUAUUCGUGUAUAAGGGGCGAAAACGAAAACGGCUCGUAAGCGCCUAAUUGCGAACCAUGUUGGCGAAAUUAGGGCUGAUCUAAAUUUUUGGUAGAUCUAUAUAUUCAGUUCGUAUAAAUAUUAUAACAUCGUGAGGAUCCAAUAUUAUUCGAUUAAGCCAAAUAUUACUG